rnacentral:rRNA from 1 species
AGCGAACGCUGGCGGCAGGCCUAACACAUGCAAGUCGAACGAAGUCUUCGGACUUAGUGGCGGACGGGUGAGUAACACGUGGGAACGUGCCUUUAGGUUCGGAAUAACUCAGGGAAACUUGUGCUAAUACCGAAUGUGCCCUUCGGGGGAAAGAUUUAUCGCCUUUAGAGCGGCCCGCGUCUGAUUAGCUAGUUGGUGAGGUAAAGGCUCACCAAGGCCACGAUCAGUAGCUGGCCUGAGAGGAUGACCAGCCACAUGGGGACUGAGAAACGGCCCACACUCCUACGGGAGGCAGCAGUGGGGAAUCUUGCGCAAUGGGCGAAAGCCUGACGCAGCCAUGCCGCGUGGAUGAUGAAGGUCUUAGGAUUGUAAAAUCCUUUCACCGGUGAAGAUAAUGACUGUAGCCGGAGAAGAAGCCCCGGCUAACUUCGUGCCAGCAGCAGCCGCGGUAA